GGUGUUGGUGAUCAGUUACUCACUGAGGAGAAGCUAUGAAGCUAUGAAGCGGCUUAAAAGAAAGGUAUGGAGCAAGGGGCCAGACCUCUUCAGUAAUAACUCCCAGAGGAAUCUAAGUGACGGAACAAAGCAGGGCCUUGAUGGCUAGGGCAGAAAGGGCUGUAAAUCAGCCUGCGAUGCUUUCCACGGCAGGCUGAGAGAUGACUGCACAUUCAUAGGCCAUUCUUUAAUAUCGUCAAGGUUUCUAUUUUAUUUCCUUCUCUUCUACAGCGUCGAUUCCCCGAGGAGAAAGAGGCUCUCAAGACCUU
rnacentral:lncRNA from 1 species